UACGAAGGGGGCUAGCGUUGUUCGGAAUCACUGGGCGUAAAGCGCACGCAGGCGGAUUGAUAAGUCAGGGGUGAAAUCCCGGAGCUCAACUUCGGAAUUGCCUUUGAUACUGUCUGUCUUGAGUCCGGGAGAGGUGAGUGGAAUUCCUAGUGUAGAGGUGAAAUUCGUAGAUAUUAGGAAGAACACCAGUGGCGAAGGCGGCUCACUGGCCCGGUACUGACGCUCAUGCGCGAAAGCGUGGGGAGCAAACAGG
rnacentral:rRNA from 1 species